rnacentral:rRNA from 1 species
GACGAACGCUGGCGGCGUGCUUAACACAUGCAAGUCGAACGGAAAGGCCCUGCUUGCAGGGUACUCGAGUGGCGAACGGGUGGGUAACACGUGGGUGAUCUGCCCUGCACUUCGGGAUAAGCCUGGGAAACUGGGUCUAAUACCGGAUAGGAGCCAUUUUUAGUGUGAUGGUUGGAAAGUUUUUUCGGUGUAGGAUGAGCUCGCAGCCUAUCAGCUUGUUGGUGGGGUAAUGGCCUACCAAGGCGGCGACGGGUAGCCGGCCUGAGAGGGUGGACGGCCACAUUGGGACUGAGAUACGGCCCAGACUCCUACGGGAGGCAGCAGUGGGGAAGAUUGCACAAUGGGCGCAAGCCUGAUGCAGCGACGCCGCGGGGGGGAUGACGGCCUUCGGGUUGGAAACUCAUUUCGCUAGGGACGAAGCUUUUUGUGACGGUACCUAGAGAAGAAGCACCGGCUAACUACGUG